rnacentral:rRNA from 1 species
GACGAACGCUGGCGGCGUGCCUAAUACAUGCAAGUUGAGCGCUGAAGGUUGGUGCUUGUACCAACGGGAUGAGCAGCGAACGGGUGAGUAACGCGUGGGGAAUCUGCCUUUGAGCGGGGGACAACAUUUGGAAACGAAUGCUAAUACCGCAUAAAAACUUUAAACACAAGUUUUAAGUUUGAAAGAUGCAAUUGCAUCACUAAAAGAUGAUCCCGGGUUGUAUUAGCUAGAUGGUGAGGGAAAGGCUCACCAAGGCGAUGAUACAUAGCCGGCCUGAGAGGGGGGAUCGCCACCAUGGGAAUGGGACCCGGCCCAAACUCCUACGGGGAGCAGCAGUAGGGAAACUUCGGCAAAGGAAGAAAGUCUGACCGGACAACGCCGGGUGAGGGAAGAAGGGUGUCGGAUCGUAAAACUCUGUUUGUAGGGAAGAACGUUGGUGAGAGUGAAAAGCUCAUCAAGUGACGGUAACUACCCAGAAAGGGACGGCUAACUACGUG